GUAGAGAUGGCUCAGUAGUCUAGAGCACUACUGCUUUUGCUGAGGACCUGGGUUCGAUUCCCAGCCCUUGCG
rnacentral:tRNA from 1 species